GAUUGAUCGUGGAUUCCUAAGUUCCAAAACCAUGCCGGUGAAACAGGAAAAAUAAAAAACAAAAAUCAAAAUUGAGGCUAGGUAUUCUAUCGCACGCCCUCUUGGAGAGCGUGCACUAACAUCUUCACAAUACAAAAAUUUCUUUUCCACACGAGUGUUUCUCACAAACCCUAAACGCGAGUGGGAAAAAUGGUUGAGAGACUGCCAUUUUAGAGAGAGAGAGAGCGCGAGAGAGAUAGGGUAUAAUAGUGUGGGUGGCACCUCACCCUAACCAGGACGCCUCAAGCUCACAAUCCACUUCUGGGCUUCUGGCAAUCUUAGAUUUGAAUCAGGGGUUAAAGUUUGGCAUCACAGUUACUUCCCUGGCUGUGAUGCAAAUCUGCUUGUGGUCACUUCAGGCUAAGAUGCUGAAUUUUAGGUCCAUUUCCUGGCUACACCUCCUAGAACCUUGGCAAUUGGACCUGUACUAUGUAAGGGACCUUCUUUUGGAUCUGUUCCUGAAGGAGGUGAUACAGAUUAUGGAGGACAUGGACAUUGAUCAAGUAAUGGAUGUUCCAGACACCCCCGAUAGAUCAGCUGAGCGGAACAUAGAUGGUAGAAAAUGUGAUAAACAUGACAGUAGUUCAUUAGCAUCUGCUCAUUCAGGAAAUUCUAAGGAUAAAGGAGUUCUGAAUCAGCUGAGGGGCAGGGGUAGACUGGUCACUGAAAACGGGCACAGCAGAAGACUCCAAUUUCGUUCUCGGGAAAGCUCUGCCAAUUCUGGUGAAACUGAGUGCUGCAGUAAAUCCAUGGUUUCCCAAUUGGAGAAUUCUUCUGCUCCCAAAAGUGCUCAUUUGUUUAGGAGAAUGAGAUCAGACGGGAUCUCGAAGCAUGAAGCAAAACAUUCUAUUGGACCUCAACAUACAAAUAAAGGGAAAGCUUUCUGCAAUGGAUUUCCUUCCAAAUCAUCUGCAUGCCAAAAUGAUAACAAAUUUUUGGAUUUAAUUGGACCAAAUGGUGCUUUCAAAGAUCUUCUGGAUGAAGAAAUAGGAAAAGGAUCAAUGGCAACCAGUGGUUGUUCUUCCUUGCAUCGCAUUGAAAAUUCUCCAAAGCCAUCCUGCAAUACCUGGAAAGGGAAAGAAAAAACAGACAAUGGUGCAUGUGAUGGUUCUGGUUCAGGUAUAGGUUUUCGUGAAGCUUUUGAUAUCUCUAUUGAUAUUCAACCUAGAAGUGAAAAGCAUGUCUCCUCAUCUCUUAUUACCUCACCUAGAGUGUCUGGGCAAAAAAGGUUGGUACGGAAUGGAUGUAUUUCUCCACAUAAUAUUAUUGCAAGGGCUAAACAAUUAGCUGAACAGCAAAGUAGCAGCUCCAAAGAUGUUGAACAGAAUGAUGCUAAGGAUAUUUCAUCUAGAGCUUCACCAUCUCGGAUAGAUAUCAAAGAUCCAAUUGCUGAAAUCAAUAAUUCUAGUAGGGUCAAAGGAAAAAGCAUAAUAAGUCAGCCUUGUACAUCAAAGCAGCAUGACUUCGGAACUGUAACUAGGAGUCCAAUAGUUCAUAAUGAACAAGCUAAUGACAACAGUGACACUGGCAGAGAUGCAUUUGGGUGCUUUGAAGGACUGAGUGGUUGGAGAAGUACACGUAAUCGAUCAAAGAAAGUAGAUGUCCUCUUGUCUGAUGGGGGUGGGCAUCUUCCCAGGAGAAAUAAUGCUGUUCAAUGUUCUUUGCAUCAGAAAAAUGAUAAUGGAGUGGAGAAAAAAGAUGAUCCUGAAGUUCAGGCUAUGUCUUUACAGCAUGUGCCUGCUCCAUCUGGAGCUCAAACAGCUUCCAAUCUUAUGUCAGGGUCAAACCAAGUAAAUGUGAGGCAUCGUGCAAGAAGCAUUCUUAUUAAAAGACAAAGAAAGCAUGGAUCAGCUACUAGUAAUACUGGUGAAAGCUCCACCUCAGUUUUCAAUGACUCAGAGAUCAUGUUUCUUGGUUCAUCUGGGGAACCAUCAAAUUCAGGAUCAACCCGAAGCCAGAGUCAUCAUGGUCAAGGUGUCAUGGAGCCAGUUAUUGAAAUUGAUGAGCAGUCCCCUGAAAUAAGGCAUGUUGCCUCCCGAAAUGGAGGUAGCAUGAAUAAUGACGACUCAGAUGCCAGGGCAAGACAAAUAGAAGCAGAUGAGAUAUUGGCUCGUGAACUUCAAGAGCAAUUAUAUCAUGAAAUGCCUGUGGAUGGAGGUGUUGGGAUUGAUGCACAUAUCGCACAGAUGCUGCAGCAGCAGGAGCAAGUGCAGCCUACUUCUUCAAGUAGAAACCACCGUGUGCCUAGAGCUAGUGGCCCUGCGAUAUCGCGUUUGUACAGACAAUCACAAUCACGGUCUUCUCAGAACCCUUCAAUUAGGAGAGGAACACAAGCUCGGGGUCCUACAUCUACUAGAAUGGCACAGUUGAGGAGCCGUUUUCCCAACCAGAGUCAUGCAAUUCCUUCUGGAGAAAGGAAUCUUCACUUCCCUCUGAACAUGGACUUGGAUAUGAGAAUUGAUAUAUUGGAAGCAUUAGAGGCUGCAGUUGGUGAUUUUGGUGAUAUGAGAAUGCCUGGUCACAUCCUUCAAAUUCAACGUGAUUUCAAUGAGAAUGAUUAUGAAAUGCUAUUAGCCCUUGAUGAGAACAAUCACAAUGUUGGUGCAUCAGUCAAUCAGAUGAAUAGCUUGCCACAGUCUACAGUACAGACUGAUAACUUUGAAGAAUCUUGUGCAAUUUGUCUUGAGACCCCAACUAUUGGAGAUACCAUACGCCAUCUUCCUUGCUUGCACAAAUUUCAUAAAGAUUGUAUUGAUCCAUGGCUCGCGAGGAGCACUUCGUGCCCAGUUUGCAAGUCAUCCAUCACUUGAUUGCACUGGCAAUUCCGAUGAUUCUCUCUGUUUGCAGCUGGUUAAAUCAAAUCCAAGGAUUUGAUUGUGCUGAAGCUUGUAGCUUGUAGCUUGUGGCCUCUAGCCAAGCCUUGGUGUAUUUGGAACGAGCCUGGUGGUGGGGUGGCAUUUUAUCUUUUUGAAUCGGUUCAUGGUCUCGUCUCGUGUGCGGCAUAGCUUGUAGCUUGAGUUUGAAUCGAACCAAAACUUGGUGUUGGUGUUAUACAGAAGGGGCCUUAGACCAAUUUAAGAUUGUAAUGAGGCCGAUGCAAAAUGGAUGGCAUCGAACACGACCCUAGCCAUGAAACCUUGAACCUGAUUAAGGGGGCUGACGGGGGUCUUUGGGCGGGCAGCAGUUGUUGGGAUAACAAUAGGGGUGAAGCAAAAAAGCACAGUUUCAUGAGUAGAAUGUAGGGUGUUUUGGGAGCAAGGUAAUCCUUGUAAUUGUAUGGCCAUGUGAAAUUGAAGCCCUCAAUCUAGGCAUGUACUGCUUGGCUUAGAUGCUUGCAAUGUUACUUGCAUAUACCAGCUCCCACCUCCAACGUACACAAUUUUACUUGUUUGCAGGGAUCUGCACUUGCCCAACUCUCCAUUUACUUUCAUUUGCGUGUUUAGCUCUUUA